rnacentral:rRNA from 1 species
GGUCAAGUUAUUAAGGGUGCAGGGCGGAUGCCUUGGCACUAGGAGCCGAUGAAGGACGUGAUAAGCUGCGAUAAGCUUCGGGGAGUUGCACGUAAACUUUGAUCCGAAGAUUUCCGAAUGAGGAAACUCACUUAGAGUAAUGUCUAAGUAUCAUUAAGUGAAUACAUAGCUUAAUGAGGGGAACUCAGGGAACUGAAACAUCUAAGUACCUGAAGGAAGAGAAAGAAAUUCGAUUCCGUAAGUAGCGGCGAGCGAACGCGGAUUAGCCCAAACCAAUAAAGUUUUCUUUAUUGGGGUUGCGGACAUAUCAUAACGAAGAGGUAUCGUAAUUGAAGAGGUUUGGAAAGACCCACCACAGAAGGUAAUAGUCCUGUAUGUUAAACGAGAAGACUUUAGAUAUGAUCCAGAGUACCACGGGACACGUGAAACCCUGUGGGAAGCAGGAGGGACCACCCUCCAAGGCUAAAUACUACCUAGUGACCGAUAGCGUAUAGUACCGUGAGGGAAAGGUGAAAAGAACCCCGGGAGGGGAGUGAAAUAGAACCUGAAACCCUGCACUUACAAGCUGUGGAAGCACAUUUCUUGUGUGACCGCGUACUUUUUGUAGAACGGGCCAACGAGUUACGUUAAGUAGCAAGGUUAAGCACUUAAGGUGCGGAGCCGUAGCGAAAGCGAGUUUUAACUGAGCGUUCAGUUACUUGACGUAGACCCGAAACCGGGCGACCUACCCAUGAGCAGGAUGAAGCGAAAGUAAAAUUUCGUGGAGGUCCGAACCCACGAGCGUUGAAAAGCUCGGGGAUGACUUGUGGGUAGCGGUGAAAUUCCAAUCGAGCCCGGAGAUAGCUGGUUCUCCCCGAAAUAGCUUUAG